AUUGAUUUAACCUGUUUUAAAUGAUGCGACACAACCAAUAUAAGCCAGUUCAGAGAGCAAACAGGUUGUUGAAGGUGGGAAGGAGAAAGUCUGAGAAUGGAUAGAAGAAACAAUGUGAGUGGACGAGAACGUGUGCGUAUGCGAGGUGGGCGACGAGGAGGAAGAGGAGGAGGAGGGCAAGAAAGAGGAAGAGGAGGAUGAAGAGGAAGAGGACGACAAAGAGUGGAAAUAUCUGAUGAAAUUCGAGCAACGGUUAAAGACCAUGUUCUUGUCCAUAGACUGACAAUCAGGGAAGCAGGACUGCAACCCAAUUUGAGCCGAUUUUCUGUGUCCACCAUAAUAAGGACAUUCAGAGAAGAGAACAGAAUUGCAAGGCUGUCACGUGCAGGUGGAAGGACAGCUAAAUUCACUCAGGAGCAAGAGGCCGUUAUAGUUGGCAUGGUCCUUCAAGAUAAUGUAAUAUGACUCAGAGAAAUCCAGGAACGAGUGAUACAAGACAACACACACUUCCAGGGAAUUGACAGUGUGACCAUUUCCAAAAUUGACCGUGUCCUCCAUCGUAACAGGAUGUGAAUGAAAAAAAGGAUACAGAGUACCUUUUGAGCGCAACUCAAAAGUGAAAGAACUGCGAGCUCAGUAUGUGCAAACAAUAUUUGACUCGGAAUCCUUGGACAGACCCCAUGAGUUCAUCUUUGUCGGUGAAGCAGGCUUCAAUCUAACAAAGAGGAGAAGGAGAGGCCGAAACCUGAUUGGACAGCGGACCAUUGUUGAAGUCCCUGGUCAACGAGGUGGCAAUGUCACAAUCUGUGCUGCUAUCAGCAACCAUGGUGUUCUACAUCACCAUGUUACACUCGGGCCAUA